GCCUGGGGCGGGGCUCCACAGUGGGCGGGGCUUCCCCGAGUUCCGGAGUCCAGUCGCUGGCCGCCUUGCUGGAGCGGAGAUGCAGCCACCGCCCCGAAAAGUGAAGCCGGCCCAGGAGGUGAAGCUUCGCUUCCUGGAACAGCUGAGCAUCCUUCAGACCCGGCAGCAAAGGGAGGCGGAUCUGCUGGAGGACAUCAGAUCCUACAGCAAGCAGAGGGCAGCCAUUGAACGGGAGUAUGGGCAGGCACUCCAGAAACUGGCUGGCCCAUUCCUGAAGAGGGAAGGGCACCGGAGCGGCGAGAUGGACAGCAGGACAGUGUUCGGUGCCUGGCGCUGCCUGCUGGAUGCCACCGUGGCUGGGGGCCAAACCCGGCUCCAGGCGUCCGACCGAUACCGUGACCUAGCAGGGGGCACAGGGCGGAGCGCCAAGGAGCAGGUGCUUAGGAAGGGAACAGAGAACCUCCAGAGGGCGCAGGCCGAGGUGCUGCAGUCUGUCCGGGAGCUGAGCCGAAGUCGGAAGCUGUAUGGGCAGCGGGAACGUGUGUGGGCCUUGGCACAGGAGAAGGCAGCUGACGUCCAGGCCAGGCUAAACCGAAGUGACCAUGGGAUCUUCCACUCUCGGACCAGUCUCCAGAAACUGAGCACCAAGCUGUCCGCCCAGUCAGCCCAGUACUCCCAGCAGCUGCAAGCCGCCCGCAAUGAGUACCUGCUUACUUUGGUGGCUACCAAUGCCCACCUCGACCAUUACUACCAGGAGGAACUGCCAGCUCUGCUCAAGGCCCUUGUCAGUGAGCUGUCAGAACACUUGAGGGACCCCUUGACCUCCCUCAGCCGCACUGAGCUGGAAGCCGCAGAGGUCGUCCUGGAGCAUGCCCACCGUGGGGAGCAGACAACCUCCCAGGUAAGCUGGGAGCAAGACCUGAAGCUGUUUCUUAAGGAGCCUGGUGUAUUUUCCCCCACCCCACCUCAGCAGUUUCAGCCAGCAGGGACUGAUCAGGUGUGUGCCCUGGAGUGGGGAGCAGAAAGCAUGGCUGGCGAGAGUGGCCUGGAGAAAGAGGUUCAGCGCUUGACCAGCCGAGCUGCCCGUGACUACAAGAUCCAGAACCAUGGGCAUUGGGUACUGCAGCGACUGGAGCAGAGGCAGCAGCAGGCUUCAGAACGGGAGGCUCCAGGCAUAGAACAGAGGUUACAGGAAGUGCGAGAGAGCAUCCGCCGGGCACAGGUGAGCCAGGUGAAGGGGGCUGCCCGGCUGACUCUGCUGCAGGGGGCUGGCCUCGAUGUGCAGCGCUGGCUGAAGCCAGCCAUGACCCAGGCCCAGGAUGAGGUAGAGCAGGAGCGACGUCUCAGCGAGGCUCGGCUGUCCCAGAGGGACCUCUCUCCAACCGCUGAGGAUGCUGAGCUUUCUGACUUUGAGGAAUGUGAGGAGACAGGAGAGCUCUUUGAGGAGCCUGCCCCCCAAGCCCUGGCCACUAGGCCCCUCCCCUGCCCUGCACAUGUGGUAUUUCGCUAUCAGGCAGGGCAUGAGGAUGAGCUGACAAUCACGGAGGGUGAGUGGCUGGAGGUCAUAGAGGAGGGAGAUGCUGACGAAUGGGUCAAGGCUCGGAACCAGCACGGUGAGGUAGGCUUUGUCCCUGAGCGGUAUCUCAACUUCCCGGACCUCUCCCUCCCAGAGAGCGGCCAAGACAGUGACAAUCCCUCUGGGGCAGAGCCCAAAGCAUUCCUGGCACGGGCCCUGUACAGCUACACCGGACAGAGUGCAGAGGAGCUGAGCUUCCCUGAGGGGGCGCUCAUCCGUCUGCUGCCCCGGGCCCAAGAUGGAGUAGAUGACGGCUUCUGGAGGGGAGAAUUUGGGGGCCAUGUUGGGGUCUUCCCCUCACUGCUGGUGGAAGAGCUGCUUGGUCCCCCAGGGCCACCUGAACUCUCUGACCCUGAACAGAUGCUGCCGUCCCCUUCUCCUCCCAGCUUCUCCCCACCUGCACCUACCUCUGUGUUGGAUGGGCCCCCUGCACCUGUCCUGCCUGGGGACAAAGCCCUGGACUUCCCUGGGCUCCUGGACAUGAUGGUACCUCGACUCAGGCCGGUAAGGGCCCUUGCCUUGGAGGAGAUUGUAUGUAGAGGGGUUCCAAUCAGUCCUGUUUUGUCUGGUAUACCCUUAAGGGAGGACUCUGGAGCACUAACUGUGUGUUCCCUACAGAUGCGUCCACCACCUCCCCCGCCGGCUAAAGCCCCGGAUCCUGGCCACCCAGAUCCCCUCACCUGAAGGCCAGGGAAUCCUUGACCCCCGGUGAUGCUGCUGUCCCUAUCUUCAAGCUGUCAGACCACACCCUCAAUGAUCCAGAGCAACACAGCCAAAACCUGGAAUCUCCCUAUUUCCACCCUUACCUCCAAGGGUAGAAACUUGCCCCUUCCCAUUUCUGGGACUGGAGCCCACUCCUUUUUUUCCCAUUGUCCUAUCAUCUCUAGGACUGGAACUACUCCUUUCUCUUCUGCCAUCACCCUAUCUAGGGUGGUGAAAUGCCUGAAAUCUCUGGGGCUGGAAACCAUCCAUCAAAGUCUCUAGUGGUUCUGGCCCACCUCUUUCCCCACCCUGGCUCCGUGACCCACCCCACUCUGGAUGCCAGGGUCACUGGGGUUAGGCCGGGGAGAGGAACAGGCCUUGGGGAUCAGAAGGCGCUGGAGCCAGGAUGCGAAGCAGCUGUAAUGGUCUGAGCGGAUUUAUUGACAAUGAAUAAAGGGCACGAAGGCCAGGCCAGGGCCUGGGCCUCUUGUGCUAAGAGGGCAGGGGGCCUAUGGUGCUAUUGCUUUAGGGGCCCACCAGGGGCAGGGGCCUGCUCCCAGCUGCCACGCUCUAUUAUAUGGAGCGAGGUGUUGGGGAAGGCGGGUCAGGCAGCCUGUUGCAGGCAGGGGAAGGAGAAGAGACUGAGGGGCCAUGACCUCUCCUGAGGCCCCCAGCCUGAGACCGUGUAACUCCAGGUAGAAGUUGAGCUGGUCCCUCAGCUGGGGGGCAGUGCUGUCCAGUGGAGGGGAGGGCCUUCACGCCCACCCACACCCUGGCCCUGCCAGCUGGUAGUCCAUCAGCACAAUGAAGAAGGAGACUUGGAGAAGAGGAAGAGUAACAGUAUUGCUUCCUGUUCAGGCUGUAUCCAGCUUUUCCCCUGGGGCUGCAGGACCUUCCCUACCUCUACCACCAAACCAAGGGAUUUAUAGCAAAGGGGACAUCCUGAGUUUGGUGGCUACUUCCCUCUGGCCUAAGGUAGGGGAGGCCUUCUCAGACUGUGGGGCACAUUGUGUAGCGUGACUUCCGCUGGAGCUCACAGUCCAGGAGGAAAGAGCCAAGGCCCACUUUUGGGAUCAGGUGCCUGAUCAUUGGGCCCCCUACCUCAACCUCACUUUCCCUGGAGCACCUGCCCCACCUGCCCACAGAGAACACAGUGGUCUCCCCUGUCCGGGGGCGGCUUUUUCCUUCCUUGGAGCGUCCCUGACGGACAAGUGGAGGCCUCUUGCUGCGGCUGCAAUGGAUGCAAGGGGCUGCAGAGCCCAGGUGCACUGUGUGAUGAUGGGAGGGGGCUCCAUCCUGCAGGCUGGAGGUGGCAUCCACACUGGACAGCAGGGAGGAGGGGAGCAAGGGUAACAUUUCCAUUUCCCUUCAUGUUUUGUUUCUUAUGUUCUUUCAGCAUGCUCCUUAAAACCCCAGAAGCCCCAAUGUCCCCAAGCCCCAACAUUUUUUUCUUGUCUUUAUCUAAUAAAUUCAAUAUUAAGAUGUUA